ACCAGGACUAAACCAGGACUAAACCAGGACUAAACCAGGACUAAACCAGGUCUAAACCAGGACUGAACCAGGACUAAAUCAGGUCUAAACCAGGACUAAACCAGGACUAAACCAGGACUAAACCAGGUCUAAAUCAGGACUAAACCAGGACUAAACCAGGUCUAAACCAGGACUAAACCAGGACUAAACCAGGUCUAAACCAGGACUAAACCAGGACUAAACCAGGUCUAAACCAGGACUAAACCAGGACUAAACCAGGACUAAACCAGGACUAAACCAGGACUAAAUCAGGACUAAACAAAGACUAAACCAGGACUAAACCAGGUCUAAACCAGGACUAAAUCAGGACUAAACCAGGACUAAACCAGGUCUAAACCAGGACUAAAUCAGGACUAAACCAGGACUAAACCAGGUCUAAACCAGGACUAAACCAGGACUAAACCAGGACUAAACCAGGAC
ensembl:lncRNA